GGGAGAAGAGCAUGAUGGAGGGGCUGGGUAGAGGGGGAGCAUCAUGGAGGGGCUGGGGAGGGGGGAGAGCACCUCAUGAUGGAGGGGGGAGCGUCAUGGAGGGGUGGGGGAGCACCCCCCUCCCCAGCCCCUCCAUGAUGCUCCCCCUCUACCCAGCCCCUCCAUCAUGCUCUUCUCCCUCCCCUGCCCCUCCAUGAUGCUCUUCCCUCUCUCCAUCAUGCUCUCCCCCCUCCCCAGCCCCUCCAUGACGCUCCCCCCUCCAUCAUGCUCCCCCAGUGG